rnacentral:rRNA from 1 species
AACGAACGCUGGCGGCGUGCUUAACACAUGCAAGUCGAACGCGAAAGGGACUUCGGUCCUGAGUAAAGUGGCGCACGGGUGAGUAACGCGUGGAUAAUCUACCCGAUGAUCUGGGAUAACAUUUCGAAAGGGGUGCUAAUACCGGAUAAGACCACGGGCUCUUCGGAGUCUGCGGUAAAAGGUGGGGACCUUCGGGCCUACCGUUAUCGGAUGAGUCCGCGUACCAUUAGCUAGUUGGUGGGGUGAGAGCCUACCAAGGCGACGAUGGUUAGCUGGUCUGAGAGGAUGAUCAGCCACACUGGAACUGGGACACGGUCCAGACUCCUACGGGAGGCAGCAGUGGGGAAUUUUGCGCAAUGGGGGAAACCCUGACGCAGCAACGCCGCGUGAGUGAUGAAGGCCUUCGGGUCGUAAAGCUCUGUCAGAGGGAAAGAAGUGCGAGAGGGUUAAUACCCCUUUUGCUUGACGGUACCCUCAAAGGAAGCACCGGCUAACUCCGUGCCAGCAGCCGCUGUAACAC